UACGAAGGGGGCUAGCGUUGCUCGGAAUUAUUGGGCGUAAAGAGCUCGUAGGCGGUCUGUCGCGUCGGCUGUGAAAACCCGGGGCUCAACCCCGGGCCUGCAGUCGAUACGGGCAGACUAGAGUGUGGUAGGGGAGACUGGAAUUCCUGGUGUAGCGGUGAAAUGCGCAGAUAUCAGGAGGAACACCGGUGGCGAAGGCGGGUCUCUGGGCCAUAACUGACGCUGAGGAGCGAAAGCGUGGGGAGCGAACAGG
rnacentral:rRNA from 1 species